rnacentral:pre_miRNA from 1 species
GUAGUACUCCCUCCGUCUGGAAAUACUUGUCAUCAUAAUGGAUAAAAGAGGAUGUAUCUAGAUGUAUUUUAGUUCUAGAUACAUAUCUUUUUAUCCAUUUUGAUGAUAAGUAUUUUCGGACGGAGGGAGUAGACG